rnacentral:rRNA from 1 species
UUUUUGGAGCCUUGUCGGAUAUGGGCGUAAGAGCUCUAGGCGGUUUGUCGCGUCUGCUGUGAAGCCCGGGGCUCAACCCCGGGUCUGCAGUGGGUACGGGCAGACUAGAGUGCAGUAGGGGAGACUGGAAUUCCUGGUGUAGCGGUGAAAUGCGCAGAUAUCAGGAGGAACACCGAUGGCGAAGGCAGGUCUCUGGGCUGUUACUGACGCUGAGGAGCGAAAGCAUGGGGAGCGAACAGGAUUAGAUACCCUGGUAGUCCAUGCCGUAAACGUUGGGCACUAGGUGUGGGGGACAUUCCACGUUUUCCGCGCCGUAGCUAACGCAUUAAGUGCCCCGCCUGGGGAGUACGGCCGCAAGGCUAAAACUCAAAGGAAUUGACGGGGGCCCGCACAAGCGGCGGAGCAUGCGGAUUAAUUCGAUGCAACGCGAAGAACCUUACCAAGGCUUGACAUUCACCGGACUGCCCCAGAGAUGGGGUUUCCCUUCGGGGCUGGUGGACAGGUGGUGCAUGGUUGUCGUCAGCUCGUGUCGUGAGAUGUUGGGUUAAGUCCCGCAACGAGCGCAACCCUCGUUCUAUGUUGCCAGCACGUGAUGGUGGGGACUCAUAGGAGACUGCCGGGGUCAACUCGGAGGAAGGUGGGGAUGACGUCAAAUCAUCAUGCCCCUUAUGUCUUGGGCUUCACGCAUGCUACAAUGGCCGGUACAAAGGGUUGCGAUACUGUGAGGUGGAGCUAAUCCCAAAAAGCCGGUCUCAGUUCGGAUUGAGGUCUGCAACUCGACCUCAUGAAGUCGGAGUCGCUAGUAAUCGCAGAUCAGCAACGCUGCGGUGAAUACGUUCCCGGGCCUUGUACACACCGCCCGUCAAGUCACGAAAGUUGGUAACACCCGAAGCCGGUGGCCUAACCCUUGUGGGAGGGAGCCGUCCCAGGUGGGACUGGCGAUUGGGACUAAUCUACAGGGGGGNACCCCAAAAAUUGUCGGGUCUUCUGGACGGAAGCGGUUAGCCCACAAGGAGGACUAUAGACGCGUAAAGUGGCGAUGUGGUCCUUAAGGUCAGAGGGGAUGACGUGAGAUCAGACGGGCAUGGGUGACGUCUGGGCCCCAACUCGGGGCCCGAAAGUGUCGUCUGCGCUGUUUGGCGGAUGCUCGAGAAAUGCGGGUUAUUAAGGCCUGUUGCGAACGCGGGAUGCAUAAUGGCGCCGACGACCGUGCAUCAAUCGGCCGCGAAGAAGACGUCCAUGGCAGUGAGAGCGAAGAAGGGAUGACUUUCUCCAAAUGUUGGGCUUCCGGCAGUAGGGAGUGCGCCGCAGCGACGUAGUCCGAAGGCGGGUAACACGUUAUAAGGGGUGACGACGGAGGGCAUCCUCAGACCCGGCACAGAGUCAGGGUCACACCGGCCAGUGGGAGAGUCCGGCCGAUGGGCAGCAGCGGAACCACUCGGUAAUGGGGUGGUUGUUCGACUAUCCGGCACUCGGGUAGGUUUUGGUCAUUUUGGGAAAGGUGGUGGGUGGUACGCCAUUCUCCAUCAUAGGUCAUAAUCUGGGUCAAAGGGUCCGAAUAGGGUCUCAGUUCCCGUCCAAUGAGUGCAUAAUGAGUGGGCAAGCGGUGAUUAGGUGGGUCGUUCGACCCGUAGUAGCAAGCUGAACGUACACAAUUCGUGCGGCGGUCGCAAGCAGGACUCGU